rnacentral:rRNA from 1 species
GACGAACGCUGGCGGCGUGCUUAACACAUGCAAGUCGAACGAAGUGGCGAACGGGUGAGUAACGCGUAAUCAACCUGCCCUUCAGAGGGGGACAACAGUUGGAAACGACUGCUAAUACCGCAUACUGAAGGAGGGGAUUGCGUCGGAUUAGCUAGUUGGAGGGGUAACGGCCUACCAAGGCGAUGGUCAGUAGCCGGUCUGGGAGGAUGGACGGCAACAUUGGGACUGGGAAACGGCCCAAAAUCCUACGGGGGGCAGCAGUGGGGGAUCUUCCGGAAUGGACGAAAGUCUGACGGAGCAACGCCGCGUGAGUGAUGACGGCCUUCGGGUUGUAAAGCUCUGUUAAUCGGGACGCGGUACCGGAAUAGAAAGCCACGGCUAACUACGUGCCAGCAGCCGCGGUAAUAC